CCCUUAAGCAAAGCUAUCGUUCACCGCAUCAGGGAUUUAAUAUAUACAAACGGGUAGACAAGUUACUUUAAACUACAAUGCUACGGUGCCAACCUUGUCGUAGUGUUCAGAGAUUAUGCAAACUUUUGCUGCUCUCUGAAUCAUUUGAUUUGCUGACACUCUACUUGAUUCAGGAAUGGUUCCAGGAGAGUUAUCCUCGAUGGCCACAUGGUCGAGGAAAAGAAGAUUGGGGGGGGGGGGGCACAUGGUGGCAAAGCAUUGGUGGACCUCGGGGAAUGGCUACAAAAAGUAGCUCCUCACAUCUCUGUUGAAGCUUUCGUUGGAGUCCUCGUUGCUUUCGCCAUUGUAAUCCUCCUUUGUUCUAUCUAUAUGACAUUGUAUUACUUUAGAAGCGCAUGCAAUUCCCUGUCGUCAGGGGCGAAUGGCGGUAUGCAAUUCGAUUACGGCGUUUUGGCUCGUGCCACACUCAGAUUCUCCGAGGAGAACAUAAUUGGAGAGGGUCAAUAUGCCAAGGUAUACAAGGUCACAUACAAGGGCCAGGAAGUGGCUGUGAAGAAAUUGAAAGGAAAGGCAGACACCGAGGCGUUGAACAACGAGCCCCAAACAUUUAGCAAUAGGAGGCACACAAAUCUAGCCUGACUAUUAGGUUGGUCUGCCAGGAUCAGAUUGAUUGAUAGCAAGAGUUGUUGGAAAAGGAAGAUAGAGGUUGAACUCUUGCUUGUGUUUGAAUGGAUUCCUAAUGGUAACCUA